ACGUAGGAGGCCAGCGUUAUCCGGAUUCACUGGGUGUAAAGCGCGUGCAGGCGGCUUAGCAAGUCGUGCGUGAAAGCGCUCUGGCUCAACCGGGCGAGGACGUGCGAGACUGUCGGACUAGAGGCAGGUAGAGGCAAGUGGAAUUCCGGGUGUAGUGGUGAAAUGCGUAGAGAUCCGGAGGAACCCCGGUGGCGAAGGCGACUUGCUGGGCCUGAACUGACGCUCAGACGCGAAAGCAUGGGGAGCGAACGG
rnacentral:rRNA from 1 species